UGUUCAAGUAUUGUUGAACCCAUACAUCCGCUUCAUUUUCAGGUGUAACAUCGUUGGGCGCAAUGUAGUUUAAGGACCUGUGUGGUGUUGCAUUGUAGCUCUUUACAAAUUUUUAAUCAAGUUAUUGACUUAACAAAUAGUGAACAGGAGAUGAUGGAAAUAGACAAUCAUGCUAUAGCUAGUGCAAGCUGUAGUCAACAUUAACAAAAAGAUGACAUAUCAUUAGUACAAGAAAUUGAAGAGGCAAGUGAAAGAUUUCUCAAUGAACCGAUGGAAGUGGAUGUUGUCGAUAGAUUUAUAGACGAUCAAAAACGAUUAUUUAAAGCAAAAACAAGAAGAAGUAGAGGGGAGUAAGCAGUAGCAGAGAAAGAGUAAAAAGACAAUCUUGAAUAUUUCAGAAUUUACAAAGAAAAAGAGAAAAACUUUUUUUUAUUUUAACUGUCCUUUUUUGACUAGUUUGUAAGAAAAUAAAGUUAGUGGUUCGUAAA